UGCAUGUCUCAGUAUAAGUCUUUAUAUGGCGAAACUGCGAAUGGCUCAUCAAAACAGUUAUAGUUUACAUGAUUGUCAAGUGUUAUACGGAUAACUGUGGUAAUUCUAGAGCUAAUACGUGCAUAAAGACCCGACUUAAAGGAAGGGUUGUAUUUAUUAGAUACAGAACCAAUCCAGCUUGCUGGUUUACGGAUGAUUCAUAAUAAAUGAACGGAGCGUAUGGCAUGCGCCGACGCUGUGUCAUUCAAGUUUCUGACCUAUCAGCUUCCGACGGUAGGGUAUUGGCCUACCGUGGCAUUGACGGGUAACGGAGAAUUAGGGUUCGAUUCCGGAGAGGGAGCCCGAGAAACGGCUACCACAUCUAAGGAAGGCAGCAGGCGCGCAAAUUACCCAAUCCUGAUACAGGGAGGUAGUGACAAGAAAUAACAAUGUAAGUGCCAACAGGCAUUUUACUAUUGGAAUGAGUAGAAUUUAAAUCUCUUUUCGACUAUCAAUUGGAGGGCAAGUCUGGUGCCAGCAGCCGCGGUAAUUCCAGCUCCAAUAGCGUAUAUUAAAGUUGUUGCGGUUAAAAAGCUCGUAGUUGGAUUUCUGUUGAGGACGUCCGGUCCGCACUAUGUGCGUGUAUCUGGUUCGGCCUUGGCAUCCUCCUGGGGAACGGUGCUGCGCUUGAUUGCGUGGUCCGGUAUUCAGGACUUUUACUUUGAGGAAAUUAGAGUGUUUACGGCAGGCAAUCGCCUUGAAUACAUUAGCAUGGAAUAAUAAUAUAGGACCUUGGUUCUAUUUUGUUGGUUUCUAGAACUAAGGUAAUGAUUAAUAGGGAUAAUUGGGGGCAUUCGUAUUAACACGUCAGAGGUGAAAAUUCUUGGAUUGU
rnacentral:rRNA from 1 species